rnacentral:sRNA from 1 species
AUUCUGUCCAUGCGGGGAAGGACGAGAAGCUUCGACCAAGGUUCGACUCGAGCGUCAGCGAGAGAGCGUUGCCGCAGGCAACGACCCGUAGGGCGAAGCGCGCAGCGCUGAGUAAUCCUUCCCCCACCACCA